rnacentral:rRNA from 1 species
UACAGGGGGUGCAAACGUUGCUCGGAAUCAUUGGGCGUAAAGCGCACGUAGGCGGUCUGUUAUGUCGGAUGUGAAAGCCCUCGGCUCAACUGAGGAAGUGCACCCGAAACUGAGUAGCUAGAGUACGAAAGAGGGUCGCGGAAUUUCCGGUGUAGAGGUGAAAUUCGUAGAUAUCGGGAGGAACGACCGGUGGCGAAGGCGGCGACCUGGGUCGAGACUGACGCUGAGGCGCGAAAGCGUGGGGAGCGAACAGG